rnacentral:rRNA from 1 species
UAGAGUUUGAUCCUGGCUCAGGACGAACGCUGGCGGCGUGCCUAAUACAUGCAAGUCGAGCGGACAGAAGGGAGCUUGCUCCCGGAUGUUAGCGGCGGACGGGUGAGUAACACGUGGGUAACCUGCCUGUAAGACUGGGAUAACUCCGGGAAACCGGAGCUAAUACCGGAUAGUUCCUUGAACCGCAUGGUUCAAGGAUGAAAGACGGUUUCGGCUGUCACUUACAGAUGGACCCGCGGCGCAUUAGCUAGUUGGUGGGGUAAUGGCUCACCAAGGCGACGAUGCGUAGCCGACCUGAGAGGGUGAUCGGCCACACUGGGACUGAGACACGGCCCAGACUCCUACGGGAGGCAGCAGUAGGGAAUCUUCCGCAAUGGACGAAAGUCUGACGGAGCAACGCCGCGUGAGUGAUGAAGGUUUUCGGAUCGUAAAGCUCUGUUGUUAGGGAAGAAACAAGUGCGAGGAGUAACUGCUCGCACCUGACGUC